GUAUCCUGGCUCAGGACGAACGCUGGCGGCGUGCCUAACACAUGCAAGUCGAACGGAACUGUUUUGAAAGAUUUCUUCGGAAUGAAUUUGAUUUAGUUUAGUGGCGGACGGGUGAGUAACGCGUGAGUAACCUGCCUUCAAGAGGGGGAUAACAUUCUGAAAAGAAUGCUAAUACUGCAUGAUAUAUCGGAACCACAUGGUUUUGAUAUCAAAGAUUUUAUCGCUUGAAGAUGGACUCGCGUCCGA
rnacentral:rRNA from 1 species